UACGGGGGGUGCUAGCGUUGUUCGGAUUCACUGGGCGUAAAGGGCGUGUAGGCUGUCAGAUAAGUCUGGUGUGAAAGCCCUUGGCUUAACCAAGGAAUGUCGCUGGAAACUGUCUGGCUUGAGUACGAGAGAGGAGAGUGGAAUUCCCGGUGUAGAGGUGAAAUUCGUAGAUAUCGGGAGGAACACCAGUGGCGAAGGCGGCUCUCUGGAUCGAUACUGACGCUGAUACGCGAAAGCGUGGGGAG
rnacentral:rRNA from 1 species